rnacentral:rRNA from 1 species
GUGGGGAAUAUUGGACAAUGGGCGAAAGCCUGAUCCAGCCAUGCCGCGUGUGUGAAGAAGGUCUUCGGAUUGUAAAGCACUUUAAGUUGGGAGGAAGGGCAGUAAGUUAAUACCUUGCUGUUUUGACGUUACCGACAGAAUAAGCACCGGCUAACUUCGUGCCAGCAGCCGCGGUAAUACGAAGGGUGCAAGCGUUAAUCGGAAUUACUGGGCGUAAAGCGCGCGUAGGUGGUUUUGUAAGUUGGAGGUGAAAUCCCCGGGCUCAACCUGGGAACUGCAUCCAAAACUGGAUGACUAGAGUACGGUAGAGGGUAGUGGAAUUUCCUGUGUAGCGGUGAAAUGCGUAGAUAUAGGAAGGAACACCAGUGGCGAAGGCGACUACCUGGACUGAUACUGACACUGAGGUGCGAAAGCGUGGGGAGCAAACAGGAUUAGAAACCCUAGUAGUCC